rnacentral:rRNA from 1 species
CUACCAAGGAAGGCAGCAGGCGCGCAAAUUACCCAAUCCCGACACGGGGAGGUAGUGACAAUAAAUACUGAUACAGGGCUCUUUUGGGUCUUGUAAUUGGAAUGAGUACAAUUUAAAUCCCUUAACGAGGAACAAUUGGAGGGCAAGUCUGGUGCCAGCAGCCGCGGUAAUUCCAGCUCCAAUAGCGUAUAUUAAAGUUGUUGCAGUUAAAAAGCUCGUAGUUGAACCUUGGGCCUGGCUGGCCGGUCCGCCUCACCGCGUGCACUGGUCCGGCCGGGCCUUUCCUUCUGGGGAGCCGCAUGCCCUUCACUGGGUGUGCCGGGGAACCAGGACUUUUACUUUGAAAAAAUUAGAGUGUUCAAAGCAGGCCUAUGCUCGAAUACAUUAGCAUGGAAUAAUAGAAUAGGACGUGUGGUUCUAUUUUGUUGGUUUCUAGGACCGCCGUAAUGAUUAAUAGGGAUAGUCGGGGGCAUCAGUAUUCAAUUGUCAGAGGUGAAAUUCUUGGAUUUAUUGAAGACGAACUACUGCGAAAGCAUUUGCCAAGGAUGUUUUCAUUAAUCAGUGAACGAAAGUUAGGGGAUCGAAGACGAUCAGAUACCGUCGUAGUCUUAACCAUAAACUAUGCCGACUAGGGAUCGGUGGGUGUUACUGUUUUGACCCCAUCGGCACCUUACGAGAAAUCAAAGUUUUUGGGUUCUGGGGGGAGUAUGGUCGCAAGGCUGAAACUUAAAGAA